UCUAAGUCGUAUUUCCCACGAAGUCUCGGUCUCUGUUCUGUUCUCCCAAAUUCCUUUCUCACCGCGCCACACCUCCCUCUUCUAUUCUUAUUGGCUGUUUGUGCACACGUGGUUUGCUUUAUGUCAUCGCUUGUCCAUAUUAAUUCUUGUCAUUUAUAGUCAUGUUUUCAGCCGAGAGGCAUCGGACGAUCAAUGGCUCUGGUUACUUCCUACAUCACGGGCAUUUCCACCUCGUCAUCGACCCUUAAUCUGCCACUCUUGCUAUUUCUUCUUAUUUUUCAUCCCUUCGUGGCUGUCGCCAGGUUUCAUCAAGCAGCCCCACUGCAUAAAAGCAAACAGCAGAAGAAAGUUGCAGUCAAGAUUUGGAGCCUUGCUCUAGCCUUAAAGUCUGUGAUGCUGAAGCUGAAGGAGGGACCAACUAAUGUUUGAGCCGACUUAGACAUCUUGCGUCACAGGUUCAACCAACUAACGUUUAAGGACUCCAAGGUUGCUGGGGACAUCUUGGGUUCAGUCUUGUAACAACCAGACAUCGGUGACUUGGCCCGACCAACUGAGCAUGCUACCACAGGGAACAAAUGAGGAAAUGUUGAACGUAUCCAACUGCAAUCUCCAAGUGAAAGCUACUAUAUUAAGCUAUUUGAAGUGAAUGGUUCUAAGGAAAACCUACGUCAGGACUCUGCGAUUUCAUAAUCUCAAUGAAGAAAUUGAAAACAGACCUCCAGUAUGAACUCUAAAUGUACAGGCUGAGGUCCUAGCUAUUCCCAAAGCAUACAUUUUCUUAAUUAAAAUUUGAUAUGUUAUACAGGAUAAAAACCAGUAUGUUUUGUUUGAAAGAGUAUUGCACUCAAAGUGUUGCAGCUCCUUGUAAUGAGACCCGGCCCUAAAUCUUCCAUUUCUCAUCAAACUGCUUCGAUCAACAUAUCAUUUUAAGUCUCCAUGAAUUUGUCACUUUUGAAAUUUCACAUAAGACACCGCAUUUCAACAUUUCUCUUAGUGCUUUUAUAGCUUUUGUUGGACGAAAUAGAUUUCCUAAAGCAGCAAGGUCAUUUUUUGUAUUUGUUGAAAUCAUUUUUUUCUGAAACUGAAAUGAAAGAGGUUUUGAGCCCUAUCUAAUUACUUGGAAAGGGGAAGUUUGCCAGCUUUAGUUCAGAAUUAAAUAGUUAGUCUACAAGUUCUUCCUUUGUGAGUUUGCCAAUUACUUUUUAAAUGCAGGAACUGCAAAUCCUUUGAGAAAGUGCUUCACUUGCCAAAAACUGCUCUCAAUUUACAUCCACGAUGAUAAAGCAGGAAUAACUGUGAUUACAAGUCUGAAAUGAUGUCACAACUCUGUGUUUCAGGCAAGUUUUUGAACCCUAAAGAGUUGUGCAGUAACACAUGUUUGAAGAUUCAGACUCUAGGCAGCUAGCACAAUUUAAGAACAUAAUUUUUUACCUUGUCAUGUGACCUCUGAUAGCCAAUAAAACUUCCACUGGUGUUUGUGUGACGUGAA